GCCUGACAAUUAUGGAAUGAGAAAUCAUGCCUUCACAUCAUGCUUUAUAUCAGUCAGAAAAAUAAUUACAGUAAAAAAAAAAAAAAAAUACUUGAAGAGAUUUCAAAAAACCCCAAGCUUCAAAGACUGAAAGAAGAAAAACAAGUAAUGCAAAAUGAACAUUGCAGCUGAUUUGACAGGAGCUGAGUUCGGGCCUCCAUGUUACAGGCAGCAGGAUGACCCAUUCUCUCCUCCCCCUGACCUCCUGAGGAGCGCCAUGCCGGAAUUCCACGUUUAC